GUGGAGCGAUAGAGGCUCUGGUGGCAAUCUUAGGGCAGAAUCUGGAAGCUAGAUCAGUUGGAGCUAUCCCUGUCUUUCUUCCCACCCUCCCUUCUCCAGGCUGGGGCCCCUAUGUUCCUUGGUCCUCUCUCUGCUCAAGAUGGAUCCCAGAUGUGCUGGUGGCAGAGAAGAGUGUAGGCUCCAGAGCUUGGCCUGGCUUAGGUGACUCACAGAUGUUUUCCAGAUGUAGUCAAGGCCAGGAGUCUUCAGGACUGAAGUCUUAGGUGCCGGGGCUGUGUCUCCCCUGGUUGGAGGCAUGGCAGAGGGGCUGAAGACAUGGGCUGACUCCUGGCCAUGUGAGUGACUGAAGGCUCUCUGAACAGGGAGAAGAGUUAUGAAAGCCAAUUUGGGUGACAAAUGUUUCUCCGCGAUCAAAUCUCACCUUCUCCCCUUGGUGGGCAGAACCUUGGGAGGCAACCCGGACUUGAGGGUCUGGAGUUCCCUGGGAGAAAAGACAGAGUCUUUAUGAGAAGUGACAGGGUCUCCCAGGAUGAAAGUGCGGAUCUAGGGACAAAUAUUCCUACCUCCCCCCACCAACCCCCAUCCCAGAUCACUGAAGCAGGGCUGGUGAGGCCACACAGGCCUCCUGGAUUCAGCUGACCUUUCAGGGACCCAGGUUCUAACUCUGGCUUCCCAUUUCCCUCUGCCCCUCCCCCACAGUGUGAACCUGUGGCAGAAGGGUUUAAGUUCUGAGGUUAGUAGUGUGGGGAGGGCUCUCACUGGCAGUGGUCUCUGAAGGGCAAUGAAGGGUCUUUGGGAGCAGAACUAGGGCUCGGAGGUUAAGGAUAGCCUGGCAGGGGCACAUAAGGUUUUGUAGCACAGGUCUGAAUGUCAGUUUUACCACUUUUUAAGUGCAUACCCUGGGUAGUUUUCUUAGCUUCCCUUCUGUGCCCUCCUCUGAAAGGUAAUAUAAAACUUCCUCUGUAGAGGUUGUGAUGACAGUAGAGGUCUUAUAAGUAAUGUUUCUGGAACAUAAUAGGUGUUCAAUAAAUGAUCAAUUUUACUACUAUAA